CUUCUCUAGCAGCAGUCUUUCAUGACAAGUAGAUCCCCUACACAAACACAGUCCCAGAAGUGGGAAACUCUCGGCAUAACGCAUAGUGGGGGCGUUGGGACCUUAAAACUGACGUGAAUCUACGAUUCCCAGUACCAAAGCAAAAACACCAGAGGAGGUGACCGUGAGCCUACGGCCUGCUCGCUCGGGGAAUCAGUGCCCAGGGCACUACCUUCAAGCCUGCAGGGACGAGGGAACCGAAGGCAUCUGCUACAAGUGCCAUCCUCCCCGCUACCCUUCCUCUCGCGUCCCAAGGAGGCGUGUACUAAGUGAAAGGACACGGCUUAUAGAUCCCACAUACUUGGCGAGCAAAGUAAAGUCACACCUCCGUCACGCG
rnacentral:lncRNA from 1 species